CUAGACUACCUUAAAUAACCCCCACAACCCAUGUUUGGUGAAGCACUUCUUUAAGUUAAAUGAGACUAGAGAGUCCGGGCCCUGCGCUCCAUUGUGCUUUGCUUUUCUCUUCUUGUGCUCUAUGCUCUCACUCACUCAGUACACGUGGAGGUCAUUUUUGCAACAUCAACUUAAAAAGUGGGACCAAUUUUUACCACAUCAGCAGUUAACAGAAUUCUUAAUGGUCUUGUUAACGGAGGGGCUUGGAUGUAGGAUUUCUGUGAGUUUGGGUAUGAGUUUGCAGGGUCUUCAAAACUUGGGUGCCAACGUGAAAUAACCCCCAAAGUGCAACGGGUUUUAUGUAGUUGAUCUUUUAAGUAAGGAGUUUGAUAGAAAAAGCCGUUUGUACAACAACUCUAAUCAUAGCUCUGAUUGUAAUCCUUGUUUAAUCUCUUAUUGAAUUUAGCUACUUUGCUUCUGCUUACCCCCAACAAUGUCUUGAACUAUGGAGCAAGAUACAAUAUUGUCUUGAGGCAAUUCCUCAAUGCUCAAACAUUUAUAUAUGUCAAGAAAGAUUAAUUUUUUUA